UCCGGCGUAGCUCAGUGGUAGAGUAGGCGGCUGUUAACCGCUUGGUCCCUGGUUCAAAUCCAGGCGCCGGAG
rnacentral:tRNA from 1 species